rnacentral:piRNA from 2 species
UUCUUCCACUUGGGCUUAAAGCUGUCCUGC